rnacentral:rRNA from 1 species
UGGGGAAUAUUGGGCAAUGGGCGCAAGCCUGACCCAGCAACGCCGCGUGAAGGAAGAAGGCUUUCGGGUUGUAAACUUCUUUUAACAGGGACGAAGUAAGUGACGGUACCGAAUGAAUAAGCCACGGCUAACUACGUG